GCACAAGCGGUGGAGCAUGUGGUUAAUUCGACGCAACGCGAAGAACCUUACCAGGGCUUGACAUCCCCUGACCGCGUAUGAAAGUACGUUUUCACCCUCGGGUGACAGGGAGACAGGUGGUGCAUGGUUGUCGUCAGCUCGUGUCGUGAGAUGUUGGGUUAAGUCCCGCAACGAGCGCAACCCCUACGUUUAGUUGCUAACAGGUGAAGCUGAGCACUCUAGACGAACUGCCGUUGACAAAACGGAGGAAGGUGGGAUGACGUCAAAUCAUCAUGCCCCUUAUGUUCUGGGCUACACACGUGCUACAAUGGCCGGUACAGACGGAAGCGAAGCCGCGAGGCGGAGCAAAUCCGAAAAAGCCGGUCUCAGUUCGGAUUGCAGGCUGCAAUUCGCCUGCAUGAAGUCGGAAUCGCUAGUAAUCGCAGGUCAGCAUACUGCGGUGAAUACGUUCCCGGGCCUU
rnacentral:rRNA from 1 species